GCAGUUUCAGGCUGAGCUGGAACCUGCAGCAGUCUUUCGACGGACUUCUGUAGCCUCGCUUGGUACUUUACGUUGGAGGCUAAAAGCACCAUCUUCCCGAGCAAUGCCAGAAUGUAAGUAAGAUUCUCGAACAUUUCUUUCUGGUGUGCAGUUCUCAUAUUUGCAGCGUGCACAGGACAAGAAAAUCAGACGGUCCUACUUGGGGACCACUGUUCCAGAGGGGUAAACUGCUCUAACUUUGCUGAAGUCAGCACAAAGGUGGCAAUUUACGCCAUUUGAGAACAUUCUCCUUACUGUCAAAGAGAAAGCUAACAAAUAUGAAUUCAGUUUACUUUAGCCAAAGAUUUUAUUGUACUCAAGAGCCUACCAAAGCAAGAGGACGAGAUUUUAUUGUACUGUAAUUAUGAUCAGUUCGUAUUUUUCCAUGGCAAUUUGGUGAAGGCAGGCAUCGUUAUUUAACCUUAGAGUCAAUCCAGAUUCACAGCAGAUGUAUGUUUAUUUUCAGU